AUUGAACGCUGGCGGCAUGCUUUACACAUGCAAGUCGAACGGCAGCGCGGGCUUCGGCCUGGCGGCGAGUGGCGAACGGGUGAGUAAUACAUCGGAACGUGCCCAGUAGUGGGGGAUAGCUCGGCGAAAGCCGGAUUAAUAACGCAUACGACCUGAGGGUGAAAGCGGGGGAUCUUCGGACCUCGCGCUAUUGGAGCGGCCGAUGGCAGAUUAGCUAGUUGGUGGGGUAAAGGCCUACCAAGGCGACGAUCUGUAGCUGGUCUGAGAGGACGACCAGCCACACUGGGACUGAGACACGGCCCAGACUCCUACGGGAGGCAGCAGUGGGGAAUUUUGGACAAUGGGCGAAAGCCUGAUCCAGCAAUGCCGCGUGUGUGAUGAAGGCCUUCGGGUUGUAAAGCACUUUUGGCGGGAACGAAAAGGACUGUGCCAAUACCACGGUUCGAUGACGGUACCCGCAGAAUAAGCACCGGCUAACUACGUG
rnacentral:rRNA from 1 species